rnacentral:lncRNA from 1 species
CUGGUGGGGGAAUUCAAAAGGCACUAUUCAUUCAGUACCUGGCCACUGCUUUAUCAUGUAUAGUCUAUGCUCAAAUGCCAUUGAGUUGAGAAGGGCAAAGCCAUAAAAGGAUAAGCUUGGGGCUCCCUCCAUCCAAAGGCAACAUGUGACCCAUGGUCUUUGUUCUUUCUUGACCAGGAGGAAGAAGAUUGGAGAGGGCUAUGAACUUGUGAGCUUCAAAAAGUCAGGAAAAUAUCUGGGAGCUGGAAUUCAUGCCAGGAUUCUGGAUUGGCCAAAAACUUUAUGGGCCCAUCAGCUUUUCCAGUGAACAAAGCUUAUCAGCAUGCUUUGUGACAUUAACAAAACCCAUCCAUUCUGCGGAAGACUAACUAGACCAAGAAAAAGCCAGCUGAUGUAACAUUAAGGGAAGUUCAAAGCUCUUCCCAGGCAUGACCCCAGCCAUCCUCAACACACCUUCGUGAAGCAGGCAGGUUGACAGCUAGCCUCCACAGUAUUUAGCCCCAAGGGGAAAUGAAGUAGCAAUAAGGUAAGUGGUCAUCUGGCAAGCCUGUGGCAAAAACAACAGAAAAAUCCAGAUUUACCAACUCCCAAGUCUAUGCUGUCAUACUCAGACUCAGUUUUUAUCUGAACUCACG